rnacentral:lncRNA from 1 species
UGUAUUCCUCUACAUAUAUUCUACAUACAUAUAUACAUAUACAUACAUGUAUAUGCACACACACAGAGUAUACACACUUGGGAAGAGGCUCAAGAAAUUUUAUUUAUAUCUUAAAAAGUGCUCUUCCCUUUUGUCUCUGAGUUCCUUAAAACCAGGUUUAAGGUAAGAGAUUCAGAAAUCCUUUCUAUAUUUCAACCCACCAGUCUCUUGUAUAAUCUAAUUAAAGCUCAGAUUUAUAAAACAAAAUCAAGAAAAUAAACUCACCUCAUCACCUCUUUGAGGGGUUGUUAGUGAUAGAUAUUCCACCAGGGAAAUCUGGUUAGCAACUACAAUCCUGAUUCUAGUGCCAAAUCUGAGCAGGUGAAAUACUCCACACAGAUAGCUGGUAACCACAUGCUUCACCUUAGUGAUGUGCCCAGAUGAAGGCACUAAAGAAGCAGUCUAUGAAAACAUGGCAGAUUGCUGAAAAUAUUUGUAACCUAGUACUGAAAUCUUUUCACCUUUUCCUCAGGAUUUGUUUAAUGAAUACAUUAAAAAUAUAAGGGUAAUUUUUACAUCCCUAUUAUAUGGAUAGUUACUGUUCCUGUUUUACAAGUCAGAGGACUGUGCCAUAAGCUUGCUCAGCACUAGCAGGGCAGGAUUCUGAGUGAGGAAUGAUGAUUUCCCAGGCUGGGCUUGGUUCACUGAACACCAUUGUCCUCUACAAAGCAUUUAUUGUGAAAUGUUUACAAAAGCACUUUUAGGAAAAGAUCAAUGUCUUUUUCUAUGUUGGUUAAAAUGUGGGUGAAUCUGUAUGAGUCCCCUGGCAGAAGGCAGAAGGAAUUAACACUUGCUGUGUUCUUAACCAUGAGCUCUGCAUCAGUGCCAAAUUUGGAAAUAGUAUGAAUGUUCAUGUGUUGGAAGCCGGGUCCUUAUUGUAGUUAAUAGUGGGAAAUGGUUUAAACUAGUGGGAAGAUCAUUAGGGGCACUGCUCUCAGAGUAAAUUAAGGUAGUUUUCACGGUACCCUAGUUGUUUUUGUACAGGAGAGUUGUUAUAAAAGAGCAAGUCUGACUCCUCCCCUCUUAUUUUCUGUCUCACCAUGAAAUUUCUUCCUCUUGCAUGCACUUCCACUAUUAUGAUCUCACAUUCUUUAAGAUCUUCGUCAGAACCAAGCAGAUACUUGGCUAAAAGCAUUAGAAUGCUCUUAGAAUUCCAGAACUGUGUGCUAAGUAAAAAUCUUUUUUAAAAUAUUUAUUUUUUUAGUUUUUAGGUGGACACAAUAUUUUUAUGUGAUGCUGAGGAUUGAACCCAGUGCUUCACACAUGCCAGGCGAGCACACUACCACCACAUCCCCAGCCCCAACAUCUUUUCUUUUAUAGAUUACACAGCCUCAGGUAUUUUGUGGUAACAACAGAAAUUAGAUUGAUACAACCAGGGUUCUUUACAAACAUUCUGUGCCCUUUAUGAAAGAUAAAGUGGUG